rnacentral:misc_RNA from 1 species
GAUGACUCGCUACUUAUCUGCAUAAAUGAUUGGUUCGUGUGAAUAUUAAAUAUCUCGUCUACCUGGCUUGGGUAAUGACAUGUUAUGUUACCUAUGUUGGAAGGCCUGAGUAUUUUACAGUGUUUGCAUGCAACCUUGAAGACUUGUGUUUUCCUAAAAUGACUUAAUUUGCUUGUGAUACCUAUACCCGGCUAUCUUGUUUUUUCAUGUGGGUUUCUGCAUUGCCAUGGGACUGGCUUGAUGUGGAUAUUCUAUGAUUUCUUUGUGUAUCUCUCAGUAGGGUUUGUUACCCUAGAACCCUCGAUAACUCAUGUACAUGAACUUUUUGUCAUUGUUUAGGCAACGACAUGAUGCAGGGUCUGGUGAAGGGCAGUCUUGGUGGCCUUAAUGUAAAGUUUAUUUGCAGCCCAAGAGCGUAGAGAAUAAAAUAGAAAUCAUAGAAUAUCCACAUCAAGCCA